GGGGGAAGAGGUCCCUCGCCCUGGCCAAUGGCAGCGCACCACGCCAAACACGCAGCCAGUAGGAAACUUGGAGGGGAGGGGCGGAGUUCGCCCCCUGCCAAUCGGAGCCUUCCAGGUGAGGGUUCCCGGCGCCGGAGCGUGGCUGGGUGCGAUUGGCUGUUGCUAUGCUGAUGAGCCAAUGGGUGUCAAGGGCGGGAGCAGCAGGCCUUAGUUACUGUCUGGUUUUUCAAAUUACGUUUUUUAAAAGUUUAUUUGCCGGCUUUCUGUCUCUGGCUGUAUCUCUGACAACGAAGCAUGAGAUUUGACGUAUCUUUUUUUCUUUUAAAAAAUGUACAGAUGCACGUUUUAGGGAUCCGACCAUGUACUUCCGGGGCAGGUUGGACAAAACUACACGUUACUAUGACAACUUUCACUUCCGCUUUCCUACGCCUCACGUCAAACAGAUGUGAUUAAAGUAGAUAAUCGGGAAUGAUUAACAGGACGGCUGUUCUUCAGCAUCAGUUUUCCUCUCAGAACUGUAUUCUAGAGCUAGUUGUAAAAAAGUAAAAAGUUGUUGUGAAAAAAGGUCUAAAAUAAAGUCUGCAAGGAUGGUCCCAUCAUGCAAUGGUCCAUAGGGUCGCUGUGUAGGUGCAGGCCCACGAUUGGUGUUAUUCAUGCUUACGUCAUUGCUGCUUUGCAUGCUGGGACCGCCCUCUUACAUUGCCCUGUGGGAGUUGUAGUCCUUUAAAGAAAAUACAUUGACUAGACUUGACUUUUUGAGGUUCUUAAAGGCAUGGGACACCUCAAUAGGCGGACUGCUGACUUUUAAUUUGAAACAGCUUUAACUUGAUUCACGCAUUAGGACAAACCACUGUAAAGAUUUCCUUAAGUUUCAUAAAUGUUAUCACCAGUACUGGUAGGGAACCUCACCAAAAGGAGAAUGCAGAGGGUCUCUGAUUCACUCCCUGGCAUCUACAGGGAGCGCUGGGAAUAGCCUUCUGCCUGAAGCCCUGGAGAGAGUCACUGCUAGUUAGUGUACACAAUGCUGAACUUAAUGUAUUCCAUGUAAAAAUACUCCUACAGAUAGAAAACUUCCACAAGGAGGAGAAGGCUAGGUUAGAAGCUUUCUCCCAACCAUCUAGUUUUCCAUGUGGAGGGAUUUCGUUUUUAUUUGUGUGGUAUGAGGGAGAACAAUUCCUAUCCUGUGAGACCCUACCUGCACUGUGAAAUAGUAGAGCCCCAUUCAAAGAUUGACUGUAUCAGUAUUUUCUUGGUGCACAAGAGUGCAAAACUGUUGUGCGCUCCACACUUCUAAGCAAUGAGAAGUUGCAGAGGCUACACUGUUGGACUUGGUGUCCAUGGGAGGAGAGAUCUGAAGUUUGCAGCGGCUUUGUAGUAUUUGUUUUAUUUAUUAACAUUUAUGUUUUGUUGCAAUUGCCUGAAUUUAGUAGCACUGAGCAGAAGCGUACUGUAUCUGCUUGUAACAGCAGAAGAUCUGGCAAUUAGCCUUUUUCCCCUAGAGCUACUUGUUGGAGCAUGCUCAGUAUGUAGUAUUUCUGGUUGGGCUGACUUCUGAUCUGGCCAAGAACGGCAUGGACAGGUUUGCUGACUCUGUUAAUUUACAAACUGGUUUUUACUAUUUG
rnacentral:lncRNA from 1 species